CAGAGUCAAUGUGGAGGCUAUAUACAGGGUAUUACGGUACAGAGUCAAUGUGGAGGCUAUAUACAGGGGGUACUGGUACAGAGUCAAUGUGGAGGCUAUAUACAGGGGGUACUGGUACAGAGUCAAUGUGGAGGCUAUAUACAGGGUGUUACGGUACAGAGUCAAUGUGGAGGCUAUAUACAGGGGGUUGCGGUACAGAGUGAAUGUGGAGGCUAUAUACAGGGGGUAGCGGUACAGAGUCAAUGUGGAGGCUAUAUACAGGGGGUACCGGUACAGAGUCAAUGUGGAGGCUUUAUACAGGGGGUACCAGUACAGAGUCAAUGUGGAGGCUAUAUACAGGGGGUACCGGUACAGAGUCAAUGUGGAGGCUAUAUACAGGGG
ensembl:lncRNA